rnacentral:rRNA from 3 species
CAGGCCUAACACAUGCAAGUCGAACGGGGAAAGCUUUCGGGCGAGUACUAGUGGCGCACGGGUGAGUAACGCGUGGAUAAUCUGCCUUGAAGAGGGGGAUAACUAAUCGAAAGAUUAGCUAAUACCGCAUAAGACCACGGGAACUGCGGUUUCUGAGGUCAAAGGUUUUUCGCUUCAAGAUGAGUCCGCGUGAGAUUAGCUAGUUGGUGGGGUAAUGGCCUACCAAGGCGACGAUCUCUAACUGGUCUGAGAGGAUGAUCAGUCACACUGGAACUGAGACACGGUCCAGACUCCUACGGGAGGCAGCAGUAGGGAAUAUUGCACAAUGGAGGAAACUCUGAUGCAGCGACGCCGCGUGAGUGAUGAAGGCCUUCGGGUCGUAAAGCUCUGUCGCAGGGGAAUAACACAAUGAAGGUACCCUGUAAGAAAGGAUCGGCUAACUUCGUGCCAGCAGCCGCGGUAAGACGAGGGAUCCUAGCGUUGUUCGGAAUUAUUGGGCGUAAAGCGGGUGUAGGUGGCUAUGUAAGUCAGACGUGAAAGCCCAGGGCUCAACCCUGGAAGUGCGUUUGAAACUGCGUAGCUUGAGUGCUAGAGAGGUUACUAGAAUUCUUGGUGUAGUGGUGAAAUACGUAGAUAUCAAGAGGAAUACCGGAGGCGAAGGCGGGUAACUGGCUAAGCACUGACACUCAGACCCGAAAGUGCGGGGAUCAAACAGGAUUAGAUACCCUGGUAGUCCGCACCGUAAACGAUGGAUACUUGUUGUUGGAGGUAUUGACCCCUUCAGUGACG